rnacentral:rRNA from 1 species
GUCGCGAGACCGGACAAGUGGAAAGUUGAAAAGGACUCUGCAGAGAGAGUUAAAGAGUACGUGAAACCGUUCGGGGGUCGGGGCUCGGGAGACCCUCCGGGCAGGAGGAGCUACCUCGAUCCCCCGGAGGCACCCGCGACUCGCGGUGUGGCGGUCUGGAGGCGCCAGGCACCGCGCGAGAAUCGGCUCUCGCCUCGG